UACGGAGGGUGCAAGCGUUGUCCGGAAUCACUGGGCGUAAAGGGCGCGUAGGCGGCUUGGUAAGUCCGUUGUGAAAGUCAAAGGCUCAACCUUUGAAAGCCGAUGGAUACUGCGGAGCUAGAGUACGGAAGAGGCGAGUGGAAUUCCUGGUGUAGCGGUGGAAUGCGCAGAUAUCAGGAGGAACACCGGUGGCGAAGGCGGCUCUCUGGGCCGAUACUGACGCUGAGGAGCGAAAGCGUGGGGAGCGAACAGG
rnacentral:rRNA from 1 species